GUCAAAUCAUUAAUCAGUUUCAUGGUAGGAUUGAGAAGAACAAAUGCAGUAAUGUGAUCCGGCAGCACCAGGCAGCUGUAGUCUCUGUUUUCCCUGCUGCUUUCCACCAGCAACCAGUCCCUUCACUGUCACUGUCACCUUACCUCACGGGCCUCAUAAAUCAUUCAGCAGGCCAUUGAAAGUUAUGCAGACUAACUUGCCCACAACUUACCUCACAACUCUGUCUACCAACAGACAGAUCAGAACAUGUGUAUAGAACAACAUCAGACAAGAGACAUUUGUUAAGACAGUGAUGUUUCUACAGCAUAUUCUUAAUCUUAUUCUUAGCUAUGACAACCAAGAGACUUUUAACAGAUCCUGGAUGACAAAUUAAAUGUUUGUUGUUUGAAUCUGGAAUAGAGCAGGGGGACAUAAUAACCAUGCUAAGGACAUGCAGAUGCAAGAGUUUCAAGAGUGUGUGGUGGCUGAAUGCUGUGCUCCUUACUUUGGCUCAUGGAAAAAACUUCAGUCAAGAGUUCCAGGAGAGACUGCCCUGCCAGCCAGGUUUCUACUGUCCUUUGGGGAGCUUCACUCCAGUCCCCUGUCCAAAGGGAACCUAUGGGCCAACUGCUGGUGCUGUGUCUAUAGACAGCUGCCUGAAGUGUCCUCCUCACCACUACUGUCCUAGACCGGGUCUGCCUGCCUCCCUGCCCUGUGGCCCUGUGGCUCAGCAGCCUCUGUCUGGUCAGGACUCUUGCGUCUGCCCGGGAGAGGGGCAGAGCUUCCAGACCAGUGACAGGCGGUGCCACUGUACCCUCGGCUACCAACCUUCCGACAACGGAGAUGUGUGUGUACACAAACUGUACGAUGUCUGCAGAGAUGGAAAAGCACGUACACAGAAUGGAGACUGUCUGAGCAGAUAUCAGUGGUCACUUCACUGUAAGCAGCAGGUGUGUCAAUCUGCAGAGGACUACCAUGGUUAUGAUGGACAGCUGGGUCUGUGCAUUUGUAAAGAGCCCCCUGGCAGAACUGCAUGUGGAGCCCUAUGCAGGAGAACGCCAGAUACUGAGCUCUAUCUCCAGUGCCAGCCCAAAGGAGAAAUGGAGCUGGUAUGGAGCUAUGGCAGUCAGGUGUCGGGCAUAUCAGGCAGCGUGCUGGAGACAGUUUUUAAACAGUGGGACUCCCAGGGGACUCUUCAGUGCAAAAGCCACCUCAACUCCUUACAUCCUGUCUACAUUGUUCAGACAACAGCGGCAGGCUUCCUCGGCCUCCUCAGCGGCCUCCCAAAGGAGCUUCAGCAACUGUUUCCUGUCACCACACAGCGAAACACUCAAAGCUCCGCUGGUUUGUCACAACAAAGCAAUAAUUUUUUUUCAAUCAUUAAAACACAAAUAAUAUGA
rnacentral:lncRNA from 1 species